UACGAAGGGGGCGAGCGUUGUUCGGAAUUACUGGGCGUAAAGGGCGCGCAGGCGGCCUUAGAAGUCAGAUGUGAAAGCCCCGGGCUCAACCUGGGAAUUGCAUUUGAGACUGCAAGGCUUGGGUGCGGAAGAGGGAAGCGGAAUUUCCGGUGUAGCGGUGAAAUGCGUAGAUAUCGGAAGGAACAUCAGUGGCGAAAGCGGCUUCCUGGUCCAGCACCGACGUUCAGGCACGAAAGCGUGGGGAGCAAACAGG
rnacentral:rRNA from 1 species